UACGUAGGGUGCGAGCGUUAAUCGGAAUUACUGGGCGUAAAGCGUGCGCAGGCGGUUUUGUAAGCCGGAUGUGAAAUCCCCGGGCUUAACCUGGGAAUGGCAUUCGGGACUGCAAGGCUGGAGUGCGGCAGAGGAGACGUGGAAUUCCUGGUGUAGCAGUGAAAUGCGUAGAUAAUCAGGAGGAACACCGAUGGCGAAGGCAGGUCUCUGGGCUGACACUGACGCUCAUGCA
rnacentral:rRNA from 1 species